rnacentral:rRNA from 1 species
UCCUACGGGGCGCAGCAGUGAGGAAUAUUGGUCAAUGGGCGAGAGCCUGAACCAGCCAAGUCGCGUGAGGGAUGACUGCCCUAUGGGUUGUAAACCUCUUUUGUAUGGGGGGAAUAAGCUUUACGAGUAGAGUGAUGACAGUACCAUACGAAUAAGCAUCGGCUAACUCCGUGCCAGCAGCCGCGGUAAUCCGGAGGAUGCGAGCGUUAUCCGGUUUUAUUGGGUUUAAAGGUUGCGUAGGCGGCUUUAUAAUUUAGUGGUAAAAUAUUGGGGCUUCCCCUCACUCCCCCCUUAAUACUGU